rnacentral:rRNA from 1 species
UACGUAGGCAGCAAGCGUUGUUCGGAGUUACUGGGCGUAAAGGGUGUGUAGGCGGUCUUCUAAGUUUGGUGUGAAAUCUCCCGGCUCAACUGGGAGGGUGCGCCGAAAACUGGGAGGCUAGAGUACUGGAUGGGAGAGUGGAAUUCCUGGUGUAGCGGUGAAAUGCGUAGAUAUCAGGAGGAACACCUGUGGUGUAGACGGCUCUCUGGACAGUAACUGACGCUGAGACACGAAAGCGUGGGUAACAAACAGG